rnacentral:rRNA from 1 species
GAUCAUGGCUCAGGAUGAACGCUAGCUACAGGCUUAACACAUGCAAGUCGAGGGGCAGCAUGUUGGUUGCUUGCAACCGAUGAUGGCGACCGGCGCACGGGUGAGUAACGCGUAUCCAACCUACCCUUGUCCAUCGGAUAACCCGUCGAAAGGCGACCUAACACGAUAUGCGGUUCACAGCAGGCAUCUAACGUGAACGAAAUGUGAAGGAGAAGGAUGGGGAUGCAU